rnacentral:lncRNA from 1 species
GUUUUACUGCUCCCCAUUUCACAACCUAGUGCUGUCCACUUGCAUGGGAUGUUUCUUUUCCAUCACAAUGCUCUGAGAUAACUAAGUCAAGGGAAGUUUGCGCAGCCCUCCAGACCCUCCAGAUUUCAAAGGAAAGCCCACCGCUGCUGGUCUGGGGGAGCUGAUGGCCUAUUCAUGGAUGAGAUGGACUAAGGACAGUGGGAAGCACAAUGGACCAACAGCAUUGUUGGAGGGGACUGCGUGAGGAAGCAGGAGCCUAAACAACACUCUCCAGAUACUGCGUGAACACUGUCUCCAGAGGGGUCUUGUAGCAUCAAAAAUUAAAGCUAAAUGUUGAUUUCUUUCUGGUAAUUAUUUUGUUCAGCAACCUGGAAAAACGAACAAAAAUUAUCUCAUUCCCUUUCCUA